UAAAAAGUAGUAAAACUUUUUGAGAUCGAGAGAGAGAGGAGCCCCAAUGCCAUUAAAUACUGUCAUGCCCCUAAACAAAUGCAUAUAUUUUCUAACUUUGUUGUGAACAUGAUGAGGCUCUUGUUCGUGUCAAUAGUGUUAAGCUUAUUAUGUAGAGAACUAAGGCUCGUUUAUGGUGAUAUCAGCACAGCAACGUUUUACGAUCCUCCUUACAUACCAACAAAGUGCUUUGGAAGUAGGCAAGACCAGUUCCCUCCGGGGAAUCUGUUUGCGGCGGUGAGUGAAGGGUUGUGGGACAAUGGUGCUGCGUGUGGAAGGCGGUAUAGACUGAGGUGUCUGAGUGGACGCAAUCAGCCCUGCAAGGGUGGUGCUACCGUGGACGUGACGGUGGUUGAUCUUUGGCGAGAUUCAACGGGCCCUUCUACCGUAGCCAUGUCAACUGAUGCUUUUGCAGUCAUCUCACACUCUCCUUCUACAAGAAUUAACGUCGAAUAUGUCCAGAUAUGAAAUCAACUGAACCAGAUAUAUGAUGACCAAUUACAGCUGAGAAUAUCAUCAAUUAUAUUGACUUUGUAGUUCAUGUUCGACUCAGGUUUAUAAUGAUAUGGAAAAGCAUUGUCGUACGUGUUCCCGUCAGAAUUCCAGUAAUUUUCGAGAUGAGCCUAAAGUUGUCAUGGGGUUGUUUCAGAAAAGGGUAUUAAUUACCUGAGAAAAUAUGAGCUAAUUAAGUGCGAAGUCUCAUCACGUCAAGUAAAAAAAAUCACAUAAAAGUAAUGAGAAGCUGUUAUUUUAGAAGGAAAAAACGCAUGAGAAGUUGAGAAGCCCUUUAUAAAUUUACAUUUUGCUUUUGCGAAUGCCGAUAUUAAUCGGUGGAAACGCAAAUUGUGGCUGUAAACGCAAAUUGCAUCAUUAAUUCGUGAUUUUUAACUUUGCCGACCAAAA